rnacentral:sRNA from 1 species
UGCCAACUUCGUGCUGGGCAGCUACAAGACGGAGCAGUGCCCAAAGCCGCCGCGCCUGUGCCGCCAGGGCUAUGCGUGCCCGCACUACCACAACAGCCGGGACAGGCGGCGCAACCCCCGGCGGUUCCAGUACAGGUCCACGCCCUGCCCCAGCGUGAAGCACGGGGAUGAGUGGGGGGAGCCCUCACGCUGCGACGGCGGCGACAGCUGCCAGUAUUGCCACUCCCGCACGGAGCAACAGUUCCAUCCUGAGGUACGUCCCUCCGAUCCCCUAGGCGUAGGGGUUGCUGGAAGGCCCCGGAGAAGCUGUGGGGUUCACAGCGUGGUUAUCACACAGAAGGAACAGUGAUUAACUUUGGCCGAGGGCUGGCACAGGUCGGGAAGCC